rnacentral:rRNA from 1 species
AUACGGAGGGUGCAAGCGUUAUCCGGAAUCAUUGGGUUUAAAGGGUCCGCAGGCGGAUUAAUAAGUCAGUGGUGAAAUCCUCUCGCUCAACGAGAGAACUGCCAUUGAAACUGUUAGUCUUGAAUUCGGUCGAAGUAGGCGGAAUGUGUCAUGUAGCGGUGAAAUGCGUAGAUAUGACACAGAACACCGAUAGCGAAGGCAGCUUACUAGACCUGGAUUGACGCUCAUGGACGAAAGCGUGGGGAGCGAACAGGAUUAGAAACCCUAGUAGUCC